rnacentral:rRNA from 1 species
CUACGGGGGGCAGCAGUGAGGAAUAUUGCACAAUGGGGGGAACCCUGAUGCAGCAACGCCGCGUGGAGGUUGACGCAUUUCGGUGUGUAAACUCCUUUUAUAUGUCAAGAAAAUGACGGUAGCAUAUGAAUAAGCACCGGCUAGACUCCGUGCCAGCAGCCGCGGUAAUACGGAGGGUGCAAGCGUUACUCGGAAUCACUGGGCGUAAAGGACGCGUAGGCGGGUUGGAAAGUCAGGUGUGAAAUCCUACAGCUUAACUGUAGAACUGCACUUGAAACUUCUAAUCUAGAGUAUGGGAGGGGGAGAUGGAAUUAGUGGUGUAGGGGUAAAAUCCGUAGAUAUCACUAGGAAUACCUAAAGCGAAGGCGAUCUCCUGGAACAUUACUGACGCUAAGGCGUGAAAGCGUGGGGAGCAAACAGGAUUAGAUACCCCAGUAGUC